UGUGCGUGCAAGAGACUUACUAAUAAAAUGGAGAGGGAGAUGAUGGGAAGGAAAAGCCCUUGGGGAUAAUGGAAGUAGCCUUCAGCCUCACUGGAAUUGUUCCCCACCAUUCCUAAUUAUAUUUGGUAGCCCAACCAUUCCUUCUUUACAUGCUUCAACCUUUUAAAAAAAACAAUAAUCUUCAUUAAUAUGCAAGCAAUGAUCAGCUCAACCUUAUAGAAAUAGAAAUUUAUGUUCGUUAAUUCAGUACUCAUUUAUAAAAUUGCAAAUGACUAUAUAUAAGGUAAUUUUACACUUGUAUAUAUAUAUUCAAGAGAGUAUUUUAACAAGUGCUAAUUAAAGACUGAAAAAUUAAGUCUUCACAAGAACACUGAUUUAUAGACGUAAAGCAUGCCAAAUUCAGUUAGUUUAAUUAUAAAGUCAAAACGCGGCGACAGAACCAAAGCAAAUCUUAAUUUGACUUUUAAUUAAGUGACUUUAUUUUAAUCUAAUAUUAAUUCCUACUACUAGUUGAAAAAAGCUAAUUGAUUCAUAUUUUAUUUUAUUUUAUUAGUUGAGGUCUAACAGCAACAUCACUUUGAGUCAUAUAAUUUGGUGGCCUGCAACUCUAAAUUUUGACUUUAAGAUUAAUAUAUAUAGAUUGAUGAAAAUUAAGUCAAAUCUAUUGUUGAUUGUAUGUUAUAUUUGUUGAUAGCUACAGCAUAACCUGUGGUCCUAACAGAGAUACCCCUUCUUUUUUAAUUUCUUUCUUCUUUUUUUUUUUUGGAUGAAAGAGAUGCCUCUUGAUUGUGUAUGUUAUAGUAUGUGAAUACUACUAUUAGAGAUACAUUUUUAUUUUCAAUUUAUUUAAAAAUUACAAUUACGUUUAUAUUUUUAAAUUAUAAAGUCAAUUUAACAUGUCAUUACUUAUACUAUAUAUUGGGUUAGUUAAGCUAUAGCACCAUUACUAUAUUUCUAACAAAUGUCACGAAUAAACAUUACAAAUUUUCUUUAAAAUUGUUAUUUUAUAAAUGUAAACCAAGAAAGAUAAUAUGUUUAUGUGUAUAUAUAUAAUUAUGAGUAUCUGCAGUUGGAUAUAUAAAUAGCAAAAAAGUGCUAAAGUAGAAGCUUAAGGCUUUAAAAAGAAAGUUGGUUACAUAAGCAUUUACUAUUAUUGACAAAGAAACACAGCUAAUGGUAAUCAAAGAAACUGUGCUAUUUUUAGAAAGUCUGACAAAUCCUUAAGAUCUGCAGCAUCUUCAGAUAGAGCUUUUUUAAAUUGCUAUCAUAAUCCAUGAAUUGGUGUCUGCACACGCGUUCUUUAUGGGUCAACUUCAUACCGGCUAUAUAUUUUACUAAACUCUUGGUCAUAGGUUCACUAAAAUGUUUUAUUUCUAUUUUUUUUUUCAGAAAAAAAAACCUAAUUUAAAAAGUUGUAUAAAUUUAUUUAAAUUCAAAAUAAUAAAUAUUACAAUUAAUAUAACUUUAUACAAAUUAAAAUAUUCGCAAUUGUCUUGACUAAAAAAACUAAAUAUCGUGCAUAAUUAUUAAAUGAGAACUGAUAUUUUUAUAUGUAUUUUUGAUAUUUUCACAUGGUCCUCUCUCACAUAAACAUACAAUGGGUCGCAUCUCUAUGUGAGAAUGAACCAUAUAGAAAUAUCAAAAACACAUGAAAAUAGUGUUCCCCUUCCCCGAUGAAACCUAAAAUAUUACAUGCGGGUCACUUAAAUGUAUUUAAUUGAUGUUUUUUUAUUACAAAAUUCAAAAUUAAAAUAUAACAUUACUAACAAAAAAAAACUGUUGGAAAGAAUAAUUUUCCUUUCACAAAUCUUUAACAUGUCUAUAAAAACCAAAUAAAACUCUCAUUUUUUAAGAAAUCAAAGAAUCUAUUUUAAUGAUUAGUUUUUUUCAAAGUAUUACCUCUUGAGUUCAAGUUUUCAAAAAGAUACUUUAUUUUAAACCAUAUAAACCUAGUUUUCCAUAAUUCAAAAUUUUAGAUUACGGUACAUGUCAAAAUGAUACGGUGGCUAAGAAUAUAAAUAAAUAAAAAAAAAAAAUUCACAUCAACAGUGAGCGAGGAGAAAAAAUUAUGUAAAAAUAUCAUAUUUUUUUUCAUUUGAAAUUAAAUAUAUUAUCCAAAAUUAUUUUAAAACAUGACAUUUUUUCGGGAACAAGAGUAUCAGGUAAGAAAACUCACGCAGUUUAAAAAGGAGCGUGGAGCAGAGGAGGCAUCUUUGUGUGGCGUCUGUUUGCG
rnacentral:lncRNA from 1 species